AUUGAACGCUGGCGGCAGGCCUAACACAUGCAAGUCGAGCGGAGCGGCGGAGGGGUGAGUAAUGCCUAGGAAUCUGCAUGGUCGUGGGGGAUAACGUCCGGAAACGGGCGCUAAUACCGCACACUCUCAGAUGAGCCUAGGCCGGAGUAGCUAGUUGGUGGGGUAAAGGCAUACCAAGGCGACGACCCGUAACUGGUCUGAGAGGAUGAUCAGUCACACUGGAAAUGAGACACGGUCCAGAGUCCUACGGGAGGCAGCAGUGGGGAAUAUUGGACAAUGGGGGCAAGCCUGAUACAGCCAUGCCGCGUGUGUGAAGAAGGGCGUCGGAUUGUAAAGCACUUUAAGUGAUGAGGCGUUACCAACAGAAGAAGCACCGGCUAACUUCGUGCCGGCAGCCGCGGUAAUAC
rnacentral:rRNA from 1 species